GAUCCUGGCUCAGAGUGAACGCUGGCGGCAGGCCUAAUACAUGCAAGUCGAACGGCAGCACAGUGGAGCUUGCUCCAUGGGUGGCGAGUGGCGGACGGGUGAGGAAUACAUGGGAAUCUGCCCAGUCGUGGGGGAUAACGUAUGGAAACGUACGCUAAUACCGCAUGCGCCCUUCGGGGAAAGUCGGGGACCGCAAGGCCUGACGCGAUUGGAUGAGCCCAUGUUCGAUUAGCUAGUUGGCGGGGUAACGGCCCACCAAGGCGACGAUCGAUAGCUGGUCUGAGAGGAUGAUCAGCCACACUGGAACUGAGACACGGUCCAGACUCCUACGGGAGGCAGCAGUAGGGAAUAUUGGACAAUGGGCGCAAGCCUGAUCCAGCCAUGCCGCGUGAGUGAAGAAGGCCCUCGGGUUGUAAAGCUCUUUGUUGGGGAAGAAAAGCAGUUGGUUAAUACCCGAUUGUUCUGACGGUACCCAAAGAAUAAGCACCGGCUAACUUCGUG
rnacentral:rRNA from 1 species